ACGAAGGGAACACUGUUCCUCUUCCCCACUCGAAUCCAGCCCCCAAAUUCCGUCCAAAUUUCAAGCGAGUGAGCUCAAGACCACCCCACGCGUUCCCCCUCCCUCCUCGUCACUAUAAGUGUAUCGACCUCUGACAGAUUUUCUCAUCCACAUUCCCUUCUCACGUGAUUGGAAGCCUCUAGAAGGCAUAUGCCGGAUGAAUGGAGAGCGUGGGAUCGAUUUCGAUUAAUCCCAGCCCUUCAUUCAUCAGGUGUCUGCCUGAUAACUAGAGAAAUUAUGGGAUUUCAAAGGGGGAGACUAAAACAUUUCAGAGAGAAAAAGUUGAA
rnacentral:lncRNA from 1 species